rnacentral:lncRNA from 1 species
GACAAGAUACAAGUUCCUUUGUCAUUCAGCCCUCGCUUAGGACGUGGGUCAAUUUCUGCCUUGUGACAUGGUUCUCUCUGGAGGCGCCCCCCCCCCGCCCCAGUGGACUCAGAACCCCCCGCUCAGGGUCCCCUUCCCCCUUUCUGGUGCACAGCGCCAGGCAAUGCAGAUAAUGCACGCCCAAUGCAGGCUGGUUGGCCAGCCCUUGCUCUCUGUGCCCCGCACAUGAACGCAGCUUGUGUUCUCAGCAUCCAGGGAACGCGCGGCGAUUCCCUCUGCCCCAGCGGACGUUGGGGACUUACCACCAACCCAGGGCAGGGAUUCCUGCUGCUGGGAGCUGAACCUGCAGGCAAGACUGAGCAACAGCCACGACUCCCAUGGUAGAGCAGACGGCGGUGCCCUCCCUCAGUGUCCCCAUUAACUGAGCCACUGAAGCCAAGUUAGAAUUUCUUUCUCCUGAUGAUAAAACAUAUUUUCUUACCUGGAGACAAAGGCUCAGAGAAUAAGAAAACAGAAGCAACCCCACAUUUUCAUGACUCAGAAGGUCUGUAAUCAGCGUGAACACCGUAUUUGGCUUUAGUCUGGCACAAUUCAAUACUCCUCUACCUUCAAGGGAGAGGAAAAGCAUUGUCUGUACAGGACUGGGCUCUUUUAAAAAAAAAAAAAAGUCCCUGCAGGCCCCCGCCCAGCCAGGGUGGACACAAGGCUGCGUACUCAUGCCUGGGUUGGCUGGGAGCCUCAACCAAGGAUGGCAAACCGAGUCUAGACACCAAUCCUUUCAUUGUGAGGCCUUCCAAGCAACCACCCCCAAACUCCCUCCCACUCAGCAGGGCUUCGGAACACGCACACAGAAUCUAGGUUAAAAAAAAAAAACCAAAAACCAAAACCAAAACCAAAAUUUAAAUGAACAAAACUCAAGUCAGCUAAAAGCAAUUCUACUCUGAUCAUCCCACAGUCUCCCUGAGCUUCCUAAGAGCGCCCCAGACGGCGGAGAAUUAAAAAGAGGCAGCAGCAGCAGCGAAGAGGGAAUUGCUGUUCUCGACAAACCAACCGCGGAGCCUGGUGAAAUGAAGCAUCAGGAAAAGGGGAAGGCAAUCAUCCGGCUCCCUCUGCGAGAAAACGGGAAGCCAGAAGGCACCAGAAGGAGAGGCCAGCAGUCUGCAGUGGCCGGGAGGAGGCACCAGGAACAGGUGCCUGAGACUAAAACCCCGAUCUGCCAAUCGACCCUGCUGGCCCCAGGAGCCACCAGGCCCCCUGUACUCACUCUAAACCUGGGAUACAAGCGUGGUUACUGAAACUGAGCAAAACUCAAUGGGGACCCUUUCUAUAGAUGAGCCACCAUCUAUCGGACAGGUGGCCCAGGAGUCACGAGCCGGGCAGAGGGUGCAUCUGAAGCGCAAAAGGGAAACUGCAUGAAUGUGCCCUGAGCCGUGGAAAUCACUACGUAGGAACGAUGUGGUGGUUGAUGUUAAGGUCUAGUACUCCGGAUGCUGAAUCAGUAAUUCUUAAGAAGUUGGAAUUCCAUGUGGGCCUGGGAGAGCUGGACAGGAGAAAGCCUUGGUUUUGAUCUUGGUGCUUAGUUGUGGGUGAGGUCAAUCUCCACAAGACAGAGGGUGCAUUUACAGCACCCUCCAGCCGUGUGGGGAGCAGGCCAGGGGUGAAAAGGCUGCCCAGGCACCGCACCUCUGAGAUCUUCCUCCUCGAAAGCCAUCACUCCAUUCUAAUCAAUGAGAAACGCAGCGGACCAAUCCCAUCUGAGGGAUGGUCUACAAAACCCCUGGCCGGCACUCCUCCGAACCAUCCAAGUCAUCAAAAACUAGGAAAGUCUGAAAAACUGUCACGGCAAAGAAGAGCCUGAUGAGACAUUACAACUAAUAGCAGUAGAGGAUCCUAGAUGGGAUCUGGGACCAGACAAAGAUGUUAGGUAAAAACUAAGGGAAUCUGAAUGGACUUCAGUUGAUAAUAAUACACCAAUAUUGAUUCAUUCGUUGUAACAAAAGCAUCAGACGCAUGCAAGAUAUUAACAAAGGGAAAAAUGAGUGUGGGCUCAAUGGAAAGCCUGCACCAUUUCCACAACUUCUCUGCACAUCUAAAACUAUUUUAGGGAGUCUUGGCGCAGCAGAAACGAAUCCGACUAGGAACCAUGAGGUUUCAGGUUUGAUCCCUGGCCUAGCUCAGUGGGUUAAGGAUCCAGCGUUGCUGUGAGAUGCAGUGUAGGUCACAGACGCGGCUCGGAUCCCAAGUUGCUGCGGCUGUGGUAUAGGCCAGUGGCUGUAGCUCUAAUUAGAUCCCUAGCCUGGGAACCUCCAUUUGCCAUGGGUGCAGCCCUAAAAAGACAAAAUAAAUAAAUACACUAUUUUAAAGAGUUUUGGUUUUUUUUUUUUUUUUUUUUUUUGGAGGUCCCAUCGUGGCUUGGUGGAAACGAAUCUGACUAAUA